rnacentral:rRNA from 1 species
GACGAACCGUGCGAACGUUGUUCGGAAUUACUGGGCGUAAAGGGCGCGUAGGCGGUGUGUCAAGUCAGGCGUGAAAGCCCCGGGCUCAACCUGGGAACGGCGCUUGAGACUGGCACGCUCGAGUUCGGGAGAGGAUGGUGGAAUUCCCAGUGUAGAGGUGAAAUUCGUAGAUAUUGGGAAGAACACCGAUGGCGAAGGCAGCCAUCUGGACCGACACUGACGCUGAGGCGCGAAAGCGUGGGGAGCAAACAGG